rnacentral:rRNA from 1 species
CCCUUAGAUGUUCUGGGCGGCCCGCGCACUACAAUGGCGUGUGCAGCGAGUGCCGAAGUAGAGUUUUCCGAGGUAUUCUUGCAAUGCUCGUUUUGAUGGGGAUAGACCCUUGCAACUGUUGGUUUUGAACGAGGAAUUCCUUGUAAGCAUGGUUUAUCAUCCGACGCUGAAUGCGUCCCUGCCCUUUGUACACACCGCCCGUCGCUCCUACCGAUUAGUCGUCCGGUGAAGUUCGUAGACCUCGUGAUCGCGGAUCACUGGGGGAAGCAAAAUGAACCUCGCGGUUUAGAGGAAGGAGAAGUCGUAACA